CCUACGGGAGGCAGCAGUGGGGAAUCUUGCACAAUGGAGGAAACUCUGAUGCAGCGAUGCCGCGUGAGUGAAGAAGGCCUUUGGGUUGUAAAGCUCUUUUGUAGGGGAAGAUAAUGACUGUACCCUAAGAAUAAGGUCCGGCUAACUUCGUGCCAGCAGCCGCGGUAAUACGAAGGGACCUAGCGUAGUUCGGAAUUACUGGGCGUAAAGCGCGCGUAGGCCGUUGAGUUAGUUAAUUGUGAAAUCCCAAAGCUUAACUUUGGAACUGCAAUUAAAACUGCUCGACUAGAGUUUGAUAGAGGAAAGCGGAAUACAUAGUGUAGAGGUGAAAUUCGUAGAUAUUAUGUAGAACACCAGUUGCGAAGGCGGCUUUCUGGAUCAACACUGACGCUGAGGCGCGAAAGUAUGAGUAGCAAAGAGGAUUAGAUACCCUCGUAGUCCAUACCAUAAACGAUGAUUGCUAGAUGUUGGAAAUUUAUUUUCAGUAUCGCAGCUAACGCAUUAAGCAAUCCGCCUGGGGAUACGACCGCAAGGUUAAAACUCAAAGGAAUUGACGGCNGAGAGNGCGAGACGACGACGAGGAGAG
rnacentral:rRNA from 1 species